GAGGGUAUAGCUCAGUGGCAGAAUGUGUGCUUAGCAUGCACAAGGUCCUGGGAUCAAUCCUUAGUACCUCCA
rnacentral:tRNA from 1 species